AGAGGGUGCAAGCGUUAAUCGGGAAUUACUGGGGCGUAAAGCGCGCGUAGGCGGAUAUUUAAGUCGGAUGUGAAAGCCCUGGGGGCUCAACCUGGGAACUGCAUUCGAUACUGGAUAUCUAGAGUAUGGUAGAGGAAAGUAGAAUUCCUGGUGUAGCGGUGAAAUGCGUAGAUAUCAGGAGGAAUACCAGUGGCGAAGGCGGCUUUCUGGACCAAUACUGACGCUGAGGUGCGAAAGCGUGGGGAGCAAACAGGAUUAGAGACCCUGGUAGUCCACGCCGUCAACGAUGAGAACUAGCCGUUGGGAGGCAUGACCUCUUAGUGGCGAAGCUAACGCGUUAAGUUCUCCGCCUGGGGAGUACGGCCGCAAGGUUA
rnacentral:rRNA from 1 species